ACAAGUCAGAUGCAGGCAUGAGGACAGAUGGAGAAACAUCACAGAGCCGUCAUUUCUGGAAAUUGACUCAACACAGGGGAUCUCAGCUGACAGAGCUGGUAUUCGAGCUAUGCAUUCCAGCUCCCUAACACAGGCUUGAGCAGGUCCUCGAUGAAGCCAGCAUUGGUUGUCAGGGUCUCCUAGCAGUAAUGUUUCCCUCAUGCUAGAUGAUUGACAUUUACAGGGUCAGUAAGUUGAGAUAGUCUCCAUGGCCUAAGUUAAGGAAAAGCAAGCAACAUUACCAUACCCACAUUCAUCUGAGCCUUGCUGUUCAUCACAGGACCCAAGGAGAAAAUCUGAAGCCUCGAAACAUUAGACUUACAAUAGUUCUUUUUCAUCUUGAAAAUACUGAGGUUCUGAGUGGGACUGACAAACAUGGAUCUGUGGAUUUAGUAGUUUAGACACUCUUGAAAGUCCCUACUUUACUUGGUACAGGCAAGCACACACAGGAUCAAGGUAGGGAGAAACAUGUAUUAGAAAGAACAUAGAAGAAUAUGAGAAGAACAGAAACAGGAGGCGACAUGAGCGGGAUGGAGCAUGAAGGACGGGAGUCAUGAAACACUUGCAGGGAAGACUGUUCCAGCCGGUCCUGACGUCAGAGGAGUGCACAUGCGAGGCUCUCUUGACCUCACAUCUCCCUGUGCUCUUCUAACAAAAAUAAAAGAAAUUCAAAGAGCUCUCUAGAAGAGGAGUGCCCUCUUAACAUU
ensembl:processed_transcript 1700066O22Rik RIKEN cDNA 1700066O22 gene